rnacentral:lncRNA from 12 species
UCUGGAGGAAACAAGACCUUCCAGACAUCUCCUACAGAGAAACUACAUUUCCUGGGCCUUGCUUGUAACUAGUGUGUGUUUAACUGCUUCCCCAAAGCCCCUGAGGAGCUAGGAGAAAAAGUGAUGGGAGGCAAAAACUCUCUGUAAGGAAAUAUUCAGAGGGCAGUGAUGUAAUAGAAGAUAAAAAUCAAGAUUUUAUAUGAAUAUUAUGUAUUCACUAGAAUUAUAAUUAUGCAAUAUAAGUAUAUAAAAUAGAUCAUGAAGU